CCUACGGGGGGCAGCAGUGAGGAAUAUUGGUCAAUGGACGAGAGUCUGAACCAGCCAAGUAGCGUGAAGGAUGACUGCCCUAUGGGUUGUAAACUUCUUUUAUAUGGGAAUAAAAUGUUCCACGUGUGGGAUUUUGUAUGUACCAUAUGAAUAAGGAUCGGCUAACUCCGUGCCAGCAGCCGCGGUAAUACGGAGGAUCCGAGCGUUAUCCGGAUUUAUUGGGUUUAAAGGGAGCGUAGGUGGAUUGUUAAGUCAGUUGUGAAAGUUUGCGGCUCAACCGUAAAAUUGCAGUUGAAACUGGCAGUCUUGAGUACAGUAGAGGUGGGCGGAAUUCGUGGUGUAGCGGUGAAAUGCUUAGAUAUCACGAAGAACUCCGAUUGCGAAGGCAGUUCACUGAACUGCAACUGACACUGAGGCUCGAAAGUGUGGGUAUCAAACAGGAUUAGAUACCCUAGUAGUC
rnacentral:rRNA from 1 species